rnacentral:misc_RNA from 1 species
GAUGAAGAACGUAGCGAAAUGCGAUAAGUAAUGUGAAUUGCAGAAUUCAGUGAAUCAUCGAAUCUUUGAACGCACAUUGCGCCCGCCAGUAUUCUGGCGGGCAUGCCUGUCCGAGCGUCAUUUCAACCAUCAAGCCCCGGGCUUGUGUUGGGGACCUGCGUCCGACGCAGGCCCUGAAAACCAGUGGCGGGCUCGCUGUCCACACCGAGCGUAGUAACUAACCUCACUAUGGAGUGGCGCGGGCGCCUGCCGUAAAACCCCCAAUUUCACAAGGUUGACCUCGGAUCAGGUAGGAAUACCCGCUGAACUUAAGCAUAUCAAUAAGCGGAGGA